GGGUCGGUACCAAAGUGGUCAACUGGGGCAGACUGUAAAUCUGCUGGCUUUCGCCUUCGGUGGUUCGAGUCCACCCCGGCCCACCA
rnacentral:tRNA from 1 species